GGCCGUUGUGGCCCAGUGGUAAAGAUCGCGACUUUGAAUCGUCAGGUCGAGGGUUCGAGGCCAUCCACUGUCU